rnacentral:rRNA from 1 species
GCGCCAUUCUACUGUACGCAAAAGACCGAUUCUCGUCCGAUCGCGGAAUUCAAGCGACGUCGUGCUCUGUUACUAGUUGCUUGGGUGAUCGGUUGAAAUAUAGGGUACAACGACACUUU